CGAAUUGUAGUUUAGAGAAGUGUUUUCUGGGGUAGCUCAGGCAUAGGUCCUUUGGAAAGAGGCGUCAUAGAGGGUGAGAACCCCGUCUGUGGCCUGAAGCCUACUCCUUUGUGAUACACUUUCAAAGAGUCGAGUUGUUUGGGAAUGCAGCUCAAAAUGGGUGGUAAAUACCAUCUAAAGCUAAAUAUUGGCGAGAGACCGAUAGCGAACAAGUACCGUGAGGGAAAGAUGAAAAGAACUUUGAAAAGAGAGUUAAACAGUACGUGAAAUUGUUAAAAGGGAAACGCUUGAAAUCAGUGUUGCAGCCCAGCAAUCAGCCAUUCCAUAGGAUGGUGCACUUGCUGGGAGCAGGUCAGCAUCAGUUUACUGUGGAGUAAAAAGCUGCGAAUUAGCCUUUUAGGUUGGGUCGCCAGUCAUGCUCUGCGGUGGACUGAGGACUGCUUUAACAGGAUGCUGACGAAAUGGUUUUAAACGACCCGUCUUGAAACACGGACCAAGGAGUCUAACAAAUAUGCGAGUAUUCGGGUG
rnacentral:rRNA from 2 species